rnacentral:rRNA from 1 species
GAUGAACGCUAGCGGCAGGCUUAACACAUGCAAGUCGAGGGGCAGCACGUCUUCGGAUGGUGGCGACCGGCGCACGGGUGCGUAACGCGUAUAGAACCUACCUUUUACAGGGGAAUAGCCCAGAGAAAUUUGGAUUAAUGCCCCAUAGUAUUAUUGAAUGGCAUCAUUUAAUAAUUAAACAUUUAUGGGUAAAAGAUGGCUAUGCGUUCUAUUAGCUAGUAGGUAAGGUAACGGCUUACCUAGGCAACGAUAGAUAGGGGUCCUGAGAGGGAGAUCCCCCACACUGGUACUGAGACACGGACCAGACUCCUACGGGAGGCAGCAGUGAGGAAUAUUGGACAAUGGGCGAGAGCCUGAUCCAGCCAUGCCGCGUGCAGGAAGACGGUCCUAUGGAUUGUAAACUGCUUUUUAUACAGGAAGAAACACUCGGACGUGUCCGAGCUUGACGGUACUGUAUGAAUAAGCACCGGCUAACUCCGUGCCAGCAGCCGCGGUAAAG